UACGUAGGGGCAAGCGUUGUCCGGAAUCAUUGGGCGUAAAGAGCGUGUAGGCGGCCCGGUAAGUCCGCUGUGAAAGUCCAGGGCUCAACCCUGGGAUGCCGGUGGAUACUGUCGGGCUCGAGUCCGGAAGAGGAGUGUGGAAUUCCUGGUGUAGCGGUGGAAAUGCGCAGAUAUCAGGAGGAACACCGGGUGGCGAAGGCGGUUCUCUGGGCC
rnacentral:rRNA from 1 species